CUUCUCUUACAGAGAAGGAGAAGGCCAGGAAGCGGCAAGAGUUGUUAAGUGGGAAGAUGGAGGAGGAAGAUGUGAAGAAGAAAGGAAAAGGAAAGGAGAAGGAAAGUGGGCAUGAUGUGUUGGACAUUCUUGACGAGAGUUUUAAGUGUUCAUUUUGUAUGCAGUUGCCUGAGAGACCAGUUACUACACCAUGUGGGCACAAUUUCUGUUUGAAAUGCUUCCAGAAAUGGAUUGGA
rnacentral:misc_RNA from 1 species